rnacentral:rRNA from 1 species
UAGGGAAUCUUCGGCAAUGGGGGGAACCCUGACCGAGCAACGCCGCGUGAGUGAAGAAGGUUUUCGGAUCGUAAAGCUCUGUUGUUAAGGAAGAACGAGUGUGAGAAUGGAAAGUUCAUGCUGUGACGGUACUUAACCAGAAAGGGACGGCUAACUACGUGCCAGCAGCCGCGGUAAUACGUAGGUCCCGAGCGUUGUCCGGAUUUAUUGGGCGUAAAGCGAGCGCAGGCGGUUAGAAAAGUCUGAAGUGAAAGGCAGUGGCUCAACCAUUGUAGGCUUUGGAAACUGUUUAACUUGAGUGCAGAAGGGGAGAGUGGAAUUCCAUGUGUAGCGGUGAAAUGCGUAGAUAUAUGGGGGAACACCGGUGGCGAAAGCGGCUCGCUGGUCUGUAACUGACGCUGAGGCUCGAAAGCGUGGGGAGCGAACAGG